rnacentral:tRNA from 1 species
GUCCUCGUAGCUCAGUUGGAUAGAGCGUCAGGUUGCGGACCUGAAGGUCGCAGGUUCGAGUCCUGCCGAGGACACCA